rnacentral:rRNA from 1 species
UACGUAGGGGGCAAGCGUUGUCCGGAAUCAUUGGGCGUAAAGAGCGUGUAGGCGGCUCGAUAAGUCUGCUGUGAAAGUCCAGGGCUCAACCCUGGAAAGCCGGUGGAUACUGCCGGGCUAGAGUCCGGGAGAGGCGAGUGGAAUUCCUGGUGUAGCGGUGGAAUGCGCAGAUAUCAGGAGGAACACCUAAGGCGAAGGCAGCUCGCUGGAACGGUACUGACGCUGAGGCGCGAAAGCGUGGGGAGCAAACAGG